rnacentral:rRNA from 1 species
UACGUAGGGUGCAAGCGUUGUCCGGAAUUAUUGGGCGUAAAGAGCUCGUAGGCGGUUUGUCGCGUCGGCUGUGAAAACUCGGGGCUCAACCCCGAGCCUGCAGUCGAUACGGGCAGACUAGAGUGCGGAAGAGGAGAGUGGAAUUCCCGGUGUAGUGGUGGAAUGCGUAGAUAUCGGGAGGAACACCAGUGGCGAAGGCGGUUGCCUGGAGCUUUGCUGACGCUGAUGCGCGAAAGCGUGGGGAGCGAUCCGG